AACGUAGGUGGCGAGCGUUAUCCGGAUUUACUGGGCGUAAAGGGUGUGCAGGCGGGCUGUUAAGUGGUGCAUGAAAUCUCCGCGCUUAACGUGGAGAGGCUGUGCCAGACUGGCAGUCUCGAGUACGUGAGAGGGUUGUGGAAUUCCGGGUGUAGUGGUGAAAUGCGUAGAGAUCCGGAGGAACACCAGUGGCGAAGGCGGGUCUCUGGACAGUUCCUGACACUGAGACACGAAGGCCAGGGGAGCAAACGGG
rnacentral:rRNA from 1 species